AACGAACGCUGGCGGCAGGCUUAACACAUGCAAGUCGAACGCCCCGCAAGGGGAGUGGCAGCCGGGUGAGUAACGCGUGGGAACAUACCCCUUUCUACGGAAUAGCUCUGGGAAACUGGAAUUAAUACCGUAUACGCCCUACGGGGGAAAGAUUUAUCGGGGAAGGAUUGGCCCGCGUUGGAUUAGCUAGUUGGUGGGGUAAAGGCCUACCAAGGCGACGAUCCAUAGCUGGUCUGAGAGGAUGAUCAGCCACAUUGGGACUGAGACACGGCCCAAACUCCUACGGGAGGCAGCAGUGGGGAAUAUUGGACAAUGGGCGCAAGCCUGAUCCAGCCAUGCCGCGUGAGUGAUGAAGGCCUUAGGGUUGUAAAGCUCUUUCACCGAUGAAGAUAAUGACGGUAGUCGGAGAAGAAGCCCCGGCUAACUUCGUG
rnacentral:rRNA from 1 species